GAUGAACGCUGGCGGCGUGCUUAACACAUGCAAGUCGAACGGGAAUUAUUUUAUUGAAACUUCGGUCGAUUUAAUUUAAUUCUAGUGGCGGACGGGUGAGUAACGCGUGGGUAACCUGCCUUAUACAGGGGGAUAACAGUCAGAAAUGGCUGCUAAUACCGCAUAAGCGCACAGAGCUGCAUGGCUCAGUGUGAAAAACUCCGGUGGUAUAAGAUGGACCCGCGUUGGAUUAGCUGGUUGGUGGGGUAACGGCCCACCAAGGCGACGAUCCAUAGCCGGCCUGAGAGGGUGAACGGCCACAUUGGGACUGAGACACGGCCCAGACUCCUACGGGAGGCAGCAGUGGGGAAUAUUGCACAAUGGGGGAAACCCUGAUGCAGCGACGCCGCGUGAAGGAAGAAGUAUCUCGGUAUGUAAACUUCUAUCAGCAGGGAAGAUAGUGACGGUACCUGACUAAGAAGCCCCGGCUAACUACGU
rnacentral:rRNA from 1 species